GCUCAAUUUCCCAUCGUCGUCGGGUCACACAAGCACAAGCCCUAAACCUUCUCGGCAUCUCGCGGGCGGUGUUGUUACGGUUGGCGGCGAAUUCGGCCUGUGCAACCACCAGCAGUGGCGACGCAUCUCGCAGAUCUCGGAGUGUUCGGAGACGCAUCUCACUGCUGGCAAUUCCCCUCGACCCUAGAUCCAAUCUAUCUCCGAUUCCUCUGCUUCAUCGGGGACAAGUUGCGCGAUGACUACAAAGAAUCUUAAAAACAAGAGGGGGGCUGAGAGAGGCGUGACUCGGGAACGGAGAACCAGAACUAGAAGGGACAAACUCCAGCUUUCAAGUGGCAGUGAUGGCCCAAAACACUCACCCCCAAAAAGAUUGUGCCGGGCCAUUAGAAGAAUGUUGAGAUUACAAGCGAGUCGGGCAGCGUUGGCUGAAUUUGAUGAUAAACUAUGUGCUAUUGAGGAGGAACGAUUUGGCACCACGUUUCCUGAUCGGGAAGUCUCAAACAUCUGCUUUAAAGAGAAACCAUUUGGUGAUGAAGUUAAAAGUGACGAAGAACUUUGUGAA